CGAGUGGAGCAUUUUGAACGCAGAUAGUUGCAUAACCAAGCACGCAUAAAGAUAAAUAAAUAAUAUCCCCAAAUCUCUAUUCCAAUUCUAAGUAUGAAGACCCGCCAAUCCGCAACUACCGCACCGAAUCGCGUAGUCCGUUCAGCCAAGUGAAUUUCAUUCGCAUCCCACUGAACGCAGACGUCGGGUGUCUUACGUAACCUAAGAACAGCAAACCGCAUAAAAAAGAUAGUCGCGACCUGGCCUUUGGUAAGCAAUCUUUUUCGGUCUAAAACCUAAACACACUCUCUGCACGUGCGGCUGCGAUUGAAUUGUAACGAGUGUUAGACGAGACAAUAUUUUUAGAUAAAUUUCAUCAGUGUUCUCCAUCUUAUCUUAGAGAUGAAGGUACACUUUCUGUCAUCGGUAGAAGGCUGAGACUUGACUGCCCCACCAGUUGGCUACAUAGGUAACGGCUUGAAGGCACAGAUGUCGACUGUUACCAGAAAAGAGUAAGAGUGGAGGAGCUUGGACCCAGAGAAUGGCAUGCGUAGCCAGCAUGGGGACAGAAAUUGUAGCCAUGUAAGAUUACUAAAUCACGUGAUUCUCUUGGUAGAAUAUCACGUCCGUUAUGCGAAUCUUACAGAAGACACGAAUCGCCUCUGUACACACUAUUUUAUAGUCAUCUAAAUCAGUCUCAAGGAAGAACUGGCAAAUACAUGUAGUUCUAUAACGAACAAAGGUGGAAGUAAAAACCUGAUUGACAUGUAUUCUACUAUAAACAAGGAAGUUAUGUCCUCGUAUGAAAAAAAAACCACAUUAUUUUCUUGAUUGAAUAUUAUGAAGUAUGGACCCAAGCAAACUAAUGUUCUGUCAGGCAUAAAUUCUUUUUUAAAAAUUAAAGUAAAAAUAAUACAUGCAAUACCCAAUACCGAAAGGUGUACUAAAUCUUAAACUUUUUCACAAGCACUCCUCAUAUUGUUGAAUUCGUUUCUAAAAUCUAUUGGCAAGAUACACUGCACACUGCAGAUCAUUAUAUUAAUUAAAUCCUAAUGGCAAGUAUUUAAUUAACUCUCUAUAAGUUCAAUCAGAGCAUACUAAUCGAUUUAAAAAAAAAGAAUGUUAUCUUUUACCAAAAAAGAGUGAAAGUAUGUAAUCUUGUACUCAAUCCACAAUAUAUGUCACUAGUACAUAAA